GGGGACGACGUCAGGUCAUCAUGGCCCUUACGCCUAGGGCUACACACGUGCUACAAUGGGAAGUACAAAGAGCUGCCACCUGGUGACAGGGCGCUAAUCUCAAAAAACUUCUCUCAGUUCAGAUUGCAGGCUGCAACUCGCCUGCAUGAAGCUGGAAUCGCUAGUAAUCGUAGAUCAGCAACGCUACGGUGAAUACGUUCCCGGACCUUGCACACACCGCCCGUCAAGCCAUGGAAGCUGGGUGUACCUAAAGUCG
rnacentral:rRNA from 1 species